rnacentral:lncRNA from 1 species
AUGGCCAAUGAUGACAAUGAGAGUCCUGACCAAAAGAUGGAAACUGGAGAAAAGUCACUUCCCAAACUUCGUCAGGCUGAAGGCAUAAGGGGCACCUCCUCCUCUCCACAGCCCAGACGCAUGGGCACAACCAUCAGGUUGCCCACAGGUCCAGGGACCAAGUCCCUCUCCUAUAGUUUCUUUGAUUUCUGGCGGCUGCAGAAGAUCAGGACUUCAAAUGCAAAGGCAGAGCUGAAGGCGAGCACACAGGGGAAGCGAGUACCCUGGCUUCUUGACCACUUCCCUGUCACACAGACGGAGAACAUCUGCAGUGCUGCUCCCCAGACAGCAGCACAUGAGGGCAGCUGGGCCACCCCACCCAGGGAGGUUUAUGUUCGGGGCUGUAUCACUGUGUGAGGAAUUUUUGUACUUUGCCCACAGUAAUAAACUCCAACAUCCUCAGCCUCUACCCUACUGAUUUUAAGAGUGAAAUCCGUCCCUGACCCACUGCCACUGAACCUGUCUGGGAUGCCAGAGUCUCUGUUAGAAACCUUGUAGAUAAGAAGCCGCGGAGACUGGCCUGGCUUCUGCAGGUACCAGUGCAAAUAGGUGUUUCCAUUGCUAUGCAGGAGGCUCUGACUGGACCUGCAGGAGAUGGAGGCCGGCUCUCCGGGGCUGAUGAGCAGGGCGGGUGGAGACUGGGUUAACACUGCCUCCCCACUGCAUCCUGAAAUAAUGACAGAGAGAAG